rnacentral:rRNA from 1 species
GCCAGGGGAGCGGCCUGCGGCCCAUCAGGUAGUUGGUAGGGUAACGGCCUACCAAGCCGACGACGGGUAGCCGGUCUGAGAGGAUGGCCGGCCACAAGGGCACUGAGACACGGGCCCUACUCCUACGGGAGGCAGCAGUGGGGGAUUUUGGACAAUGGGCGAAAGCCUGAUCCAGCGACGCCGCGUGGAGGACGAAGCCCUUCGGGGUGUAAACUCCUUUUCUCAGGGAAAAAAGCUGAUGGUACCUGAGGAAUAAGCCCCGGCUAACUACGUGCCAGCAGCCGCGGUAAUACGUAGGGGGCGAGCGUUACCCGGAAUUACUGGGCGUAAAGGGUGCGUAGGCGGCCGUGUGUGUCUGGCGUUAAAAUCCACGGCUCAACUGUGGGUAUGCGCUGGAAACUGCACGGCUUGGGUGCAGCAGAGGCAGACGGAACUGCUGGUGUAGGGGUGAAAUCCGUAGAUAUCAGCAGGAACGCCGGUGGAGAAGUCGGUCUGCUGGGCUGUAACCGACGCUGAGGCACGAAAGCUAGGGGAGCAAACCGGAUUAGAUACCCGGGUAGUCCUAGCCGUAAACGAUGCUCACUUGGUGUGGGGGCGAAGGUCUCCGUGCUGAAGCUAACGCGUUAAGUGAGCCGCCUGGGGAGUAUGCCCGCAAGGGUGAAACUCAAAGGAAUUGACGGGGGCCCGCACAAGCAGUGGAGCGUGUGGUUUAAUUGGAAGCUAAGCCAAGAACCUUACCAGGGCUUGACAUGCUGGUGGUACUGAGCCGAAAGGUGAGGGACCUUACCGCAAGGUAAGGAGCCAGCACAGGUGGUGCACGGUCGUCGUCAGCUCGUGCCGUGAGGUGUUGGGUUAAGUCCCGCAACGAGCGCAACCCCUGCUCUUAGUUGCCAGCACGAAAGGUGGGCACUCUAAGAGGACCGCCGGCGACGAGCCGGAGGAAGGAGGGGAUGACGUCAGAUACUCGUGCCCCUUAUGCUCUGGGCGACACACGCGCUACAAUGGGAUGGACAGCGGGAGGCGAGGCAGCGAUGCUGAGCAAACCCCACAAACCAUCCCCCAGUUCAGAUUGUGGGCUGAAACCCGCCCACAUGAAGCCGGAAUUGCUAGUAAUCGCGGAUCAGCCACGCCGCGGUGAAUACGUUCCCGGGCCUUGUACACACCGCCCGUCAAGCCACCCGAGUUGCGGGCACCCGAAGACGGUGA